AACCCAUGCAUGUCUAAGUAUAACCGCUUAUACUGGAAAACUGCGCACGGCUCAUUAUAUCAGUUAUAGUCCAUUUGAUAGUCUUUUUACAAGGAUACUUGUGGCAAAUCUAGAAAUAAUACUUGCAUCCAAAGGCGACUUUUGAAGCCUUGCAUUUGUUUGAUUUAAACCAAUACCCUUCGGGGUUGUACUGGUGAUUCAGAACAACUAAGCGAAUCGCAGAGCUUCGGCGGCGAUGAAUCAUUCGAGUUUCUGCCCCAUCAGUUGUCGAAGAUAGGGUAUUGGCCUAUCUUGACUAUCACGGGUGACGGAGAAUCAGGGUUCGAUUCCGGAGAGGGAGCCUUANAGACGGCUACCACAUCCAAGGAAGGC
rnacentral:rRNA from 1 species